rnacentral:rRNA from 1 species
AACGAACGCUGGCGGCAUGCCUAACACAUGCAAGUCGAACGAGACCUUCGGGUCUAGUGGCGCACGGGUGCGUAACGCGUGGGAACCUGCCCUUAGGUUCGGAAUAACUCCCCGAAAGGGGUGCUCAUACCGGAUAAUGUCUUCGGCCCAAAGAUUUAUCGCCUUUGGAUGGGCCCGCGUUUGAUUAGCUAGUUGGUAGGGUAAAAGCCUACCAAGGCGACGAUCCAUAGCUGGUCUGAGAGGAUGAUCAGCCACACUGGGACUGAGACACGGCCCAGACUCCUACGGGAGGCAGCAGUGGGGAAUAUUGGACAAUGGGCGAAAGCCUGAUCCAGCAAUGCCGCGUGAGUGAUGAAGGCCUUAGGGUUGUAAAGCUCUUUUACCCGGGAUGAUAAUGACAGUACCGGGAGAAUAAGCUCCGGCUAACUCCGUG